rnacentral:rRNA from 1 species
CCUACGGGAGGCUGCAGUGAGGAAUAUUGGUCAAUGGGCGAGAGCCUGAACCAGCCAAGUCGCGUGAAGGAUGACGGCCCUACGGGUUGUAAACUUCUUUUGUCAGGGAGCAAUUGGGUCCACGCGUGGGCUUAGCGAGAGUACCUGAAGAAAAAGCAUCGGCUAACUCCGUGCCAGCAGCCGCGGUAAUACGGGGGAUGCGAACGUUAUCCGGAUUUAUUGGGUUUAAGGGGUGCGUAGGCGGAAUAUCAAGUCAGCGGGAAAAAUUCGGGGCUCAACCCCGUAGUGCCGUUGAAACUGAUGUUCUUGAGUGGGCGAGAGGUAUGCGGAAUGCGUGGUGUAGCGGUGAAAUGCAUAGAUAUCACGCAGAACUCCGAUUGCGAAGGCAGCAUACCGGCGCCCAACUGACGCUGAAGCACGAAAGCGUGGGUAUCGAACAGGAUUAGAUACCCUAGUAGUC